UACGUAGGUGGCAAGCGUUGUCCGGAUUUAUUGGGCGUAAAGCGAGCGCAGGCGGUUUCUUAAGUCUGAUGUGAAAGCCCUCGGCUCAACCGAGGAAGGUCAUUGGAAACUGGGGAACUUGAGUGCAGAAGAGGAGAGUGGAAUUCCAUAUGUAGCGGUGAAAUGCGUAGAUAUAUGGAGGAACACCAGUGGCGAAGGCGACUCUCUGGUCUGUAACUGACGCUGAAGCUCGAAAGCGUGGGGAGCAAACAGG
rnacentral:rRNA from 1 species